rnacentral:lncRNA from 1 species
CUGGGAGACUCAGUGUUUGGUAACGACCAGCUUUCUGUAGAUAGCCAUCUCUUCAAUCUAGUCUUAACCUGGUGGAAGGGGCAGUAGUGUCUCUGGGAUCCUUUUUUUAGGACAUUAAUCUCAUUCAUGAGAAUUCUAAUCUAAUAAAUUUAAUAACUUCCCCAAAUGUCCAUUUCCUAAUAUCGUCACCUUGGUUUUAGGAUUUCAACAUAUAAACUUUGGGGAAACACGAACAUUCAAAUGUUAGCAGUGAGACUUCUCUCAAAGGAUGCACAUCUUCCUUUGUCAAAGGACCAAUGGGGAGGUAUCCUGGACGCCAUAGCAUGAAAAGAGUUAUCAAGUAACAACAAACAGUUCUUUAAUUAUGUUACACAAACUAAGAGUUACUCGCAACUGGGCCCUGUGCUAUGAACUGGUACCGAUGAAGAUCAAUGAUUUUUUGAGAAGGAAAAGAUGGAGCAAGCCAUCUGUGCUUAUCCUGGAUAUAGAAAGAGUCACAAGAAAGAUUCCUAUCCCCUGGGAUUUCCUCGUUUAGGAGGGCAAGAUUUCUGUGGACUGAUGGGGUUCCAAAAUAUGCCACCUUAAAUAUGC